CAAAUAGAUCCAAUCGAAGCACGAGCGAAAUAUAUAGCUACAAUUUCGAUCUUUUUUUUCCAACGAGAGAAAUGAACUUGGUCGGAAGAACAUCGAAACAAAAGGGAUCAAUCAUUUGGCUUGUUCGAUUUCGAGGCGAGAAUUUUCUUCUUUGACAGUGGUAUAAAGUGUCUCGUACGUUUGCGUCGAUGCUUUGGAAAUAAUACAACGAAAAAUUAAUGCUGAUCGUUGAUCGAUUACUGUCGAAAAAAUUAGGUUAUGUACGCGCAUGUUCACGAAUUAAUAUGUGUUAUAAUUUUAACAGAUUUAAUAUCGAGCCUCAGGCAUUGGUCAAAUACAGAAGAUAUUAAUCGCAAUCUUGGACAAUAUUUGUUGUAAUCGAUGACAAUAUCGAUGUAAUCAAAUCGAGUGGAUAAUUACUCGUGCAGCUUGGUUUCUUAAAUUAGAUUUUCUUCAACGAUCGAGCAAGAUCUAUGAAAAAAAAAAAUAUGUGUAUUCCUUGAAGUGUGCAAAUUAAAUGAAGUUAAAGGCAUAUGAAAGCCAUCUAUUCAAUCGUAAAUUACGAUUGUUAGAACGAUCGCCAUCCCUACAAAUUUACAACAUCAAAAGAUCUGCCUACGACGCUCGUUCGUGAAAAAAAAUACAACGCGUGGGCACGUUAUUAGCAUACUGAUGUCGAAUUUUAAACGAAAGACGUCAGAAAAAUUUGAAAUUCGCUUAAAGUUACUUUCUUCCACGUUAAUAUUGAAUUCGUAUCCGAAAUAAAAAUAUAAUGAUCAAUUUAAAUUGUAUCUCGAUAUAUAUCAUUUAUAAGCAGAAGACAUGACUCUGAAGAUGAAUAAAUGAUGCAAUGUGAUAAAAUGAUAAAAUAUGAUAAAAUAAAUGAAUUUGUUUUAAUGCAAAAUUGAAAACGAUAUCUGGAAAAGUUGAAUUUAUUUAAUUGUAACAUGUAAAAGUUUUAAUCAUUUUACAUUUCUAACGUUUGAGCCCAUUCAAAAAUAUAUUCUGGAUAAUUUUUUUAUCGAUUCUACACUCAUUUACAAGAGGAAAGGAUUUUUCAUGUAAUCAAUUAAAUUCAAUAUAGAGAAUUUUUGUAAAAUAUAAAG